rnacentral:rRNA from 1 species
GACGAACGCUGGCGGCGCGCCUAACACAUGCAAGUCGAACGGAGCUGAGAGAAGCUUGCUUUUCUUAGCUUAGUGGCGAACGGGUGAGUAACGCGUGAGUAACCUGCCCUGGAGUGGGGGACAACAGUUGGAAACGACUGCUAAUACCGCAUAAGCCCACGAUCCGGCAUCGGAUUGAGGGAAAAGGAUUUAUUCGCUUCAGGAUGGACUCGCGUCCAAUUAGCUAGUUGGUGAGGUAACGGCCCACCAAGGCGACGAUUGGUAGCCGGACUGAGAGGUUGAACCGGCACAUUGGGGAUGGGGCCACGGCCCGAAUCCUACGGGGGGGAGGCGUGGGGGAUAUUGGCCAAUGGGGGAAACCCUGAUGCAGCGACGCCGCGUGGAGGAAGAAGGUUUUCGGAUUGUAAACUCCUGUCGUUAGGGACGAUAAUGACGGUACCUAACAAGAAAGCACCGGCUAACUACGUG